GCGAUUCUGACGGUGAAGUCCGACCGAGGUUCAGCGACGAGUGAAGCAACAGAUGCUCGCAUAUGAGAAGAACACCUAAAACCGAGUUGAUUGAAGGUUGUAAACUUCAUAUUUAGGGUUUACCCUAUUUCCAAAUCAGACGAUCGACUCCAAGUUUGAAGAACUAGAAUCGAAGCUUGAUUUAAGGUUGAAAACAAAGGUUGUGGAAUGUUUGAAUGGAUAUCAAGUUCAAGCCCAAGUUGUGAUACUUACCAGACUCCACCUAGGUCCCUAUGCUCAGAAACAUCAACUUCAUCAUCUCCUUCCCCUUCAUCAGAUUAUAUCAAAGGAUACUUGAACGGUGCAA